rnacentral:rRNA from 1 species
AGUGAACGCUGGCGGUAGGCCUAACACAUGCAAGUCGAACGGCAGCACAGUAAGAGCUUGCUCUUACGGGUGGCGAGUGGCGGACGGGUGAGGAAUACAUCGGAAUCUACUUUUUCGUGGGGGAUAACGUAGGGAAACUUACGCUAAUACCGCAUACGACCUACGGGUGAAAGCAGGGGAUCUUCGGACCUUGCGCGAUUGAAUGAGCCGAUGUCGGAUUAGCUAGUUGGCGGGGUAAAGGCCCACCAAGGCGGCGAUCCGUAGCUGGUCUGAGAGGAUGAUCGGCCACACUGGAACUGGAACACGGUCCAGACUCCUACGGGAGGCAGCAGUGGGGAAUAUUGGACAAUGGGCGCAAGCCUGAUCCAGCCAUACCGCGUGGGUGAAAAAGGCCUUCGGGUUGUAAAGCCCUUUUGUUGGGAAAGAAAAGCAGCAGGUUAAUACCCCGCUGUUCUGACGGUACCCAAAGAAUAAGCACCGGCUAACUUCGUG